GACGAACUUUGGCGGCGUGCUUAACACAUGCAAGUCGAACGGAAAGGCCCUGCUUUUGUGGGGUGCUCGAGUGGCGAACGGGUGAGUAACACGUGAGUAACCUGCCCUUGACUUUGGGAUAACUUCAGGAAACUGGGGCUAAUACCGGAUAGGAGCUCCUGCUGCAUGGUGGGGGUUGGAAAGUUUCGGCGGUUGGGGAUGGACUCGCGGCUUAUCAGCUUGUUGGUGGGGUAGUGGCUUACCAAGGCUUUGACGGGUAGCCGGCCUGAGAGGGUGACCGGCCACAUUGGGACUGAGAUACGGCCCAGACUCCUACGGGAGGCAGCAGUGGGGAAUAUUGCACAAUGGGCGGAAGCCUGAUGCAGCAACGCCGCGUGCGGGAUGACGGCCUUCGGGUUGUAAACCGCUUUCGCCUGUGACGAAGCGUGAGUGACGGUAAUGGGUAAAGAAGCACCGGCUAACUACGUGCCAGCAGCCGCGGUGAUACGUAGGGUGCGAGCGUUGUCCGGAUUUAUUGGGCGUAAAGGGCUCGUAGGUGGUUGAUCGCGUCGGAAGUGUAAUCUUGGGGCUUAACCCUGAGCGUGCUUUCGAUACGGGUUGACUUGAGGAAGGUAGGGGAGAAUGGAAUUCCUGGUGGAGCGGUGGAAUGCGCAGAUAUCAGGAGGAACACCAGUGGCGAAGGCGGUUCUCUGGGCCUUUCCUGACGCUGAGGAGCGAAAGCGUGGGGAGCGAACAGGCUUAGGUACCCUGGUAGUCCACGCUGUAAACGGUGGGUACUAGGUGUGGGGUCCAUUCCACGGGUUCCGUGCCGUAGCUAACGCUUUAAGUACCCCGCCUGGGGAGUACGGCCGCAAGGCUAAAACUCAAAGGAAUUGACGGGGCCCCGCACAAGCGGCGGAGCAUGCGGAUUAAUUCGAUGCAACGCGUAGAACCUUACCUGGGUUUGACAUGGAUCGGGAGUGCUCAGAGAUGGGUGUGCCUCUUUUGGGGUCGGUUCACAGGUGGUGCAUGCCUGUCGUCAGCUCGUGUCGUGAGAUGUUGGGUUAAGUCCCGCAACGAGCGCAACCCUUGUUCACUGUUGCCAGCACGUUAUGGUGGGGACUCAGUGGAGACCGCCGGGGUCAACUCGGAGGAAGGUGGGGAUGACGUCAAGUCCUCAUGCCCCUUAUGUCCAGGGCUUCACGCAUGCUACAAUGGCUGGUACAGAGAGUGGCGAGCCUGUGAGGGUGAGCGAAUCUCGGAAAGCCGGUCUCAGUUCGGAUUGGGGUCUGCAACUCGACCUCAUGAAGUCGGAGUCGCUAGUAAUCGCAAAUCAGCAACGCUGCGGUGAAUACGUUCCCGGGGCU
rnacentral:rRNA from 1 species